rnacentral:rRNA from 1 species
GACGAACGCUGGCGGCGUGCUUAACACAUGCAAGUCGAACGGAAAGGCCUGCAGCUUGCUGCGGGUACUCGAGCGGCGAACGGGUGAGUAACACGUGGGUGAUCUGCCUUGCACUUCGGGAUAAGCUUGGGAAACUGGGUCUAAUACCGGAUAGGACAGCUGUUUAGUGUCAGUUGUGGAAAGUUUUUUCGGUGCAAGAUGAGCUCGCGGCCUAUCAGCUUGUUGGUGGGGUAAUGGCCUACCAAGGCGUCGACGGGUAGCCGGCCUGAGAGGGUGUACGGCCACAUUGGGACUGAGAUACGGCCCAGACUCCUACGGGAGGCAGCAAUGGGGAAUAUUGCACAAUGGGCGGAAGCCUGAUGCAGCGACGCCGCGUGGGGGAUGAAGGCCUUCGGGUUGUAAACUCCUUUCGACAGGGACGAAGCGUAAGUGACGGUACCUGUAUAAGAAGCACCGGCUAACUACGUGCCAGCAGCCGCGGUAAUACGUAGGGUGCGAGCGUUGUCCGGAAUUACUGGGCGUAAAGAGCUCGUAGGUGGUUUGUCGCGUCGUCUGUGAAAUUCCGGGGCUUAACUCCGGGCGUGCAGGCGAUACGGGCUGACUUGAGUGCUGUAGGGGAGACUGGAAUUCCUGGUGUAGCGGUGAAAUGCGCAGAUAUCAGGAGGAACACCGAUGGCGAAGGCAGGUCUCUGGGCAGUAACUGACGCUGAGGAGCGAAAGCAUGGGUAGCGAACAGGAUUAGAUACCCUGGUAGUCCAUGCCGUAAACGGUGGGCGCUAGGUGUAGGGGGCUUCCACGUCUUCUGUGCCGUAGCUACGCAUUAAGCGCCCCGCCUGGGGAGUACGGCCGCAAGGCUA